GAUGAACGCUGGCGGCGUGCCUAAUACAUGCCAGUCGAGCGAACAGACGAGGAGCUUGCUCCUCUGACGUUAGCGGCGGACGGGUGAGUAACACGUGGAUAACCUACCUAUAAGACUGGGAUAACUUCGGGAAACCGGAGCUAAUACCGGAUAAUAUAUUGAACCGCAUGGUUCAAUAGUGAAAGACGGUUUUGCUGUCACUUAUAGAUGGAUCCGCGCCGCAUUAGCUAGUUGGUAAGGUAACGGCUUACCAAGGCAACGAUGCGUAGCCGACCUGAGAGGGUGAUCGCCCACACUGGAACUGAGACACGGUCCAGACUCCUACGGGAGGCAGCAGUAGGGAAUCUUCCGCAAUGGGCGAAAGCCUGACGGAGCAACGCCGCGUGAGUGAUGAAGGUCUUCGGAUCGUAAAACUCUGUUAUUAGGGAAGAACAAAUGUGUAAGUAACUAUGCACGUCUUGACGGUACCUAAUCAGAAAGCCACGGCUAACUACGUG
rnacentral:rRNA from 1 species